UGGAAUUUUCUUGGUUCUAUUUAAAGUCGGGGCCCUUCUAUUUUGGGUCAUUUUUAACCAUAGCGGAACCUAUACAACCCCUAAACUCUCUCUAAACAUUCCCCAGGAUUCAAGAGUGAAUCUAAGGCCAAACUACCCAAGUCUAUCAUCAAAAGUCUCAUUAAACUAGCGGGGAGUGCUUCUAUAGCAUUGCUGUUGUGUUGAGGAUUCCUUUAAGUUAAAUAAAUAUUUGGUUGAAGGUUAUUGUUUCUGUUUGAGGUAAUUAUUUUCCUCUUCUACAUGGAUUUGAGUUCAUACAAGUUGUAGCUAGAUUGUUUGGCUGAGAACUUGUGAAAUAAAUAUCGGAAAUCGUAUAUGAUGUAGUUGUGAGUUGUUGGACUGUUUUGAAGUUGUUCUAAGUUAAUUUGUUGCUUGUUUUCGAGAUUUAAGGUAAUACUAUCUAUAUUAUUCAUGUGUAUGAUUUAGUUGAGGUUCUGGUUUUGUUUAAUUAUUGAGAAGAUACGAUAUGUCGGCUAGAAGUCGUAAACUAGUUGUUGUGCUAUGUUAUUGGGGCUGUUCUUGUUGUGUUGAUUUGCUUGACAUGUGGUAUAUUUGAAUUCAUGUAUUUUUAAUGUUGUUACCAGGGUGAUAAGGGAGAUAUGCUUGAAUAAUUGCCGUAGAAACAGUGUAAAGCAAGCUUGUUGCUCAUUAGUUAGUUAGGAUGUUUCUCUUAUUGAUAUUAGUAUUGUUUUAUUUGUUGUGUGACAUGUUGGGACUAGUUUUGUGGUGUGGAGGUGGUGGAGAUAUUUAUUUAUUUGUAUUUAUGUGCUAUUGAUGGUUUUAUGAGGAUUAUACGGGAGUUAGGUGAAGAUAUAUGUAGUAGAAUCAUGUAUAGAGCGGAUUGCCGUCUGUCGGUUAGGUGUUAUGUUUCUCUUCAUUAAUAGUAAUAUUUUUCUUAUGUAGCAUGAUUUGUGGAGAAUUAUGGUUCCGCCAGUUCCAUGGAAAGGUUGACUUAGAGGUAUGUAAGGUUAUUAGAUAUCCUCUUCCUUAGCAUGAAUCUAUAGUAGGUCUCCCUCAAGAAGUGAGUUCCAAAAUGAAAUGCUUAUAAAUGUUAUACUCGUGUAUUAAUCAUCUUUCUAUAUUCUUAAUUCAUGUCGCCCUGAUAGAAUGUGUUUCAUAUAGCUCUUCACAACCCAUGAUCUUUUUCAGAGAGUGUAAUUGAGCUGUAACGUUUCCCUCGUAAAAACCUCCUUGGUAUAACGACUAUUAAUGCGAGUUAUUCUACCCAUGUGCUAGCUAGAUGCAUACGUUCCUUAUUUGAGGUUUCCCCAAUGUCAUGAGUUCCAUAUGUACAGUAGUAAUCCCUUGUUUUUUUUUUUUUUUCUGAAAGUGCAUAUGAACCACGACGGCUCCCUCGUACAUAUAUAAAACCGACCACCGC
rnacentral:lncRNA from 1 species